UGGGGGUGGGUGGGUGGGGGUGACUAUUUAAUCAGCUCUGUUUCUCCACGCUGGGGAGGAAAGUGGUGGCCUUUCUGCGUGUCGGCCUAUGUGGCACUUUCGGUGUUUAGGUCUGGUUGCUGGGAGCCAUGAUUUGAUUCUCUGCCUUGCUGGAAGAGCCUGCAGCUCCACGAGGGAAAUGGUUUAUUUUAAGGGCCAGCCUUCCAGAGAAAAAGAGAGGGUCAUGCUUUAUUCAUCAGGGUUCCCCAAGGCUGGAGAAUGAGCUUAAAGAUGGUACCCGUGAGUGCAGAUGCAGUGAGCUAACAUACGUGUGCAGAGAGUUGAUGCCCCCUUCAUGGAAGGGGCCAGGCUAAGUGAACAUCGUCGCUGUUAGGGUUACGUCUGGACGCUCUCCUAAGUGAGGCUUUAGAGAGGUGACUGUGUCUGGGGUGUCAUGAGUCCACUGAUGAGUUGACAACUAAAUGUGAUCUUGGGAAGUGAAGCCUGGUUGGAGGAGAUGGGCCAAUGGGGACGUGACCCGGGAGGGUUGCUCUCCCUCCUCUCCCCUUGGUGGCUCUCUGCUUCCGGCCUUUCCUUCCUGCUCUCCUCCACCAGGCCCCUCUGCCAUGCCGCCCUGCCGUGGAGCCAGCUGACCAUGCCCAGAAACCGCCACAAACUAUCCGCCAAAAUAAGCCUCGCGCCCGUUAGGUCAUAGGGGUUGGGUAUUGUGUCCCAGAGACAGGAAAGUGACAAAGACAAUCACUGGUGAGCAUGCUGUGAGCCAGAUGGAGUGGUUGUAGAGUGGGGAGUGGGAAUCCAAGUCACCCCUCUGGCAGCAGCUGGUAGCACUGAUUGCCAGAGGGAGCCAAGUUUGGGGGCGAAACACCUUGAUGGGGCACAAUCAAGAUACUUGAUGAAGCCAAAGAGGACCACGGAGCUCUACUGUUUAGUCGCCACUGGAUUCCACACAAACCCCUGCCGCCUCCCUCCGUCACCUUUUCAAGCAAGGCUCCCUUGGCACGAACAUGGAGAUGAUGUCUGGAGACGCAGCAGCCAUCUUGCAGACUUGAGAACAAUAACUAUUGACUACUGGAUGGUGGAGAAAGAAAGUAGAACUGGGACCUGAGGUGGCAUUGGUAAAGGGGUGGGGUUUUUUCUUGUUGAGUGAGAAAUGUGUUUAAGUUGUUAAAUUGUGUUUUCAUGGCCAAAUAUAAUCUUAUUGGCUACACAGCCAUUAGCACCAA